GGUUUUUAGGGCCAUACCUGUGGCAUGUGGAAGUUCCCAGGCUAGGGGGCAAAUUGGAGCUACAGCUGCCGGCCUACACCACAGCCACAGCAAUGCAGGAUCCAAGCCACAUCUGUGACCUACACCUCAUGGCAAUGCUGGGUCCUUAACCCACUGAGAGAGGCCAGGGAUCAAACCCACACUCUCAUGGAUACUAGUCGGAUGUGUUUCCACUGUGCCACAACAGGAACUCCAGGAAUUUCUAUUAUCUGCAAGGAAGAUGGAAAAUACUAGCAAAUGAACCAAGCCAUCCUCCUAAAAAGUAGAAGAAAAACUAUCGCUGCUUCUCCUAUUGUCUGCUUUCUCUGUUUACAAAUCGGAACCGAGCUGAAGGCCGGGCAGCCCCUCUAUUGCCUAACUGCUAGUUGCUAAGGUUACCACAGUACUACACACAUCAGAUUUCGUCCACCCAACUGGAUAGAGCAAUUCUCAGGAAAACAAGCUUGACCCAGGACAGGAAAAGGUAGGGGACAUUGUGCCAAAGUAUGAUCCCCAAAAGGAGAGGUAGAUGGGAGCCCAAGAGCCCUGGUGGGACUAUUCACUGGGAAUUGUACAUUUUAUUUAUUUUUUCCUUUUUUAUAUAAUGAUUUUUAUUUUUUUCCAUUAUAGCUGGUUUACAGCAUUCUGUCAAUUUUCUGCUAUACAGCAUGGUGAACCAGUUACACAUACAUGCACACAUUCUCUUUUCUCACACUAUCCAGCUCCAUCACAAGUGACCAGACACAGUUCCCAGUGCCACACAGCAGGAUCUCAUUGCUAAUCCAUUCCAAAGGCAAUAGUCUGCAUCUAUUAACCCCAAGUUCCCAAUCCAUCCCACUCCCUCCCCCUUGGCAACCACAAGUCUAUUCUCCAAGUCCAUGAUUUCCCUUUUUUAAAUUUUUCUUUUUAUGGCCACACCUGCAGCAUAUGGAAGUUCCCGGGCUAGGUAUCAAAUCAGGGCUGCAGCUGCAGGCCUAUGCCACAGCCGUGGCAACACCAGAACUGAACUGCAUCUGUGACCCAGACUGCCCCUUGUGGCAACGCUGAGCGAGGCCAGAAUUGAACCCGCAUUCUCACAGACUCUUGUGUUGGGUUCUUAACCCACAGAGCCACAACAGAAACUCCUGUACAUUUUAAUGAACCAUGUUGUUGAAAAUUUUAGAGAACAGAGCAGCAAAGGCAGGAAAUAAUCAGACUAAAUGAUCAGGACUUGCUGGACACUGGGAAUCUAGUUAUAAGCUGAAAACACAAACUUGCCUCAAAUUGCAGAUGUGAAAAGGAGAUCUGGAGUCCAGCCACCAGAAAAUAAUCAUCAAAGGAAGCAAAUAAUGAUAGUAAUAAAGUUGUGAUGCCAAAAGGAGACACAGUGAUUUUAAAAAUCAAAGAAUACAAGUAGUUUAAGUAAGUGAUGAGGUAAAAUAUAAAUAUACCCAGAGCAUUUAUGUUCCUCUACACUAUCAGAAACUGAUUUAAAAACAUAAUAAGAAAAAGAAAGACUCCGUUUAUAAUUAGAAAGCAUUAACCAGAAAUAUCUAGAAAUGAUGCUAAGAAAUGUGUCAUAGAAACUCAUAUGAUGAAAACUAUAAAGUUUUAAUGAAAGCAAUAAAGGACUUACAUAUAAGAAGGUAUAAACAGAUUUCUCUAUGCGUGACCACAAUUGAAAAAGUGACAGUCCUCCACAUAAUUAUAUACAUUGGUACAGUGCUAGUGGAGUAGAAAUUACAAAGGACUUGAAUAAUUUUGACCAAAUUACUUUGAAGUUCAUUUUGAAGAAUAAGCAGGGGAAAAAAAAAUGAAAGUAACAGCAGACUUUCCCUGAUAAGUGGUAAAGCCAAUUAUAAAGUUAUAAUGAUUACAGGAGUGGUAGUACUGGCACAUAUCUCAAAAACAGUAAAAGGAUAAAAUGAUCAUUAAAUUAGUCCUAAGAUAUCAGCUUUAGGAACUUAAAGGAAGCAAGAGAAAGAGCAAGAAAUUAAUUACCCCACAAAUGGAACACGACUCUUUUAAAAAAGUAUAUAUAAUCACACACAGAUGCUUAGAUAAAUUAUCAGGUCUAUCCCUUUAAAAAUUAAAGCAUAAAAUAAAUACUAGGUACAAGGUAAGGGAAAAAAGAGAUUGUAUUUAAACUGCUUUGUGGAGCUCCUGUUGUGGCUCAGCAUAAAACAAACCCAACUAAUAUCCAUGAGGAUAUGGGUUCGAUCUCUGGCCUCGCUCAGUGGGUUAAGGAUCUGGCAUUUCCGUGAGCUGUUGUGUAGGUCACAGAUGCAGCUCGGAUCCUGCGUGGCUGUGGCCGUGGGGUAGGCUGGCAGCUAUAGCUCAGAUUUGACCCCUAGCCUGGGAAUUUCCAUACGCUGCAGGUAUGCUCCCCACCCCACCCCAAAAAAGAAAAAAGAAAAGAAAAGAAACUGCUUUGGGGCUGAGAAAGGACUUUCAAAGCAUAAAAGCAAUGAGCCAAAUCACAGAGUAUAUGGCACACGCGUGGUCAAUUGAUUUUCAGCAAAUGUGCCCCUAUAAUUUAUACUGGGUUAAAUUCAUGUCCGCCCAGAACCUCAGAAUGUGAAUUUAAUUGGGGCUAGGGUCUCUGUAGACGUAACUAGUUAAGCUGAAUUCAUCUGAGGAGAGUGGCCGUUAAAUCCAGUAUGACUGGUGUCCUUAUGAGAGAAGAGACACACACAGAGGAAAGACAGUCAAGUGAGGACGAAGCAGACAGUGGAGGAGCUGAAAGUCAAGGGACGCUAAGAAGUGCCAGCAACCACCGGAAGCUAGGAAGCGGGGAGGGAGUCUCCAGAGAGAGCACAGCUCUGCCUACGCCUGAUUUUGAAUUUCCCCCUUCCAGAACUAGAAGAAAAUUGAUGUCUGUGUUUUAUGCCACCCAGUUUGUAGUCAUCUGUUUUGCCAGCCCUAGGACACACUAACACAAAAUUCAGUGGGAAAAGGAAAUCUUUUAAACAAAUGGUGCUGGGAAUAUUGAAAGCCAUGUGGAAAAAUAAAUAAAACUUGAUCCUUACUUCACACCAAAUAUAAAAGUUAAGUAAAAAUGAAUCGCAUUCAGUGAUACAUUUAGAAUAAAACACAGAUUAAAAUCUUAGCAACCUUGGGUUUGAAAAGAUUUCUAAAAUAGGACACAAAAAGCACAGGCUGUUAAAAAAAAAAGAAAUCAAUACAUUGGACUUCAUCAAAUUUUAAAACUUACACUCUUAAAAAAACAUGUUACAAAAGGUUAACCACCAGAGACUGGGAGAAAAUAUUUGCAAGGCAUACAUACGACGAAGGGAUUAUACCUAAAAUACAUAUUGACUCUCGAAAUUCAAUACUAUGAUAAACAAAACAAAAAAAAAUGGACAAAUGAUUUUAACAGACACUUCACCCA
rnacentral:lncRNA from 1 species